rnacentral:rRNA from 1 species
AAGUAGCAGUAGGAAAGUAAAGAAAUUUCGAUUCCGUCAGUAGCGGCGAGCGAACGCGGAAGAGCCCAAACCUGGAUGCUUGCAUCCAGGGGUUGUAGGACUGAUGUUGAGUUACAAAGGUAUAAGAUAGCAGAAACAGUUGGGAAGCUGUUCCAAAGAGGGUGACAGGCCCGUAUGCGAAAUCUUGUACUCUCUAAUCAGGAUCCUGAGUACGGCCCAGCACGUGAAAUUGGGUCGGAAUCUGGGAGGACCAUCUCCCAAGGCUAAAUACUAACUAGUGACCGAUAGCGAACAAGUACCGUGAGGGAAAGGUGAAAAGAACCCCGGAAGGGGAGUGAAAUAGUUCUUGAAACCGUGUGCUUACAAGAAGUUCGAGGCCGUUAAUGGCUGAGAGCGUGCUUUUUGUAGAAUGAACCGGAGAGUUACGAUUGCGUGCAAGGUUAAGGUGCAAAGACUGGAGCCGUAGCGAAAGCGAGUCUUAAUAGGGCGAAUCAGUACGUAGUUGUAGACCCGAAACCGAGUGACCUAUCCAUGGUCAGGUUGAAGGUGGGGUAAUACCUACUGGAGGACCGAACAAGUGGGUGUUAAAAAACCCUUUGAUGAACUGUGGAUAGCGGUGAAAUUCCAAUCGAACUCGGAGAUAGCUGGUUCUAUCCGAAAUACAUUUAGGUGUAGCCUUGCAAUUAGCUUACUGGAGGUAGAGCACUAUUUGGUCUAGGGGCCCUUCAAGGGUUACCAAAAUCAGAUAAACUCCGAAUGCCAGCUAAGUAUGUGCAGGAGUCAGACGGUGAGUGAUAAGAUCCAUCGUCAAAAGGGGAACAGCCC